AUACGUAGGGGGCAAGCGUUAUCCGGAAUUAUUGGGCGUAAAGAGUGCGUAGGUGGUCUUGUAAGCGUGGGGUGAAAGGCGGUGGCUUAACCAUUGUAAGCCCUGCGAACUGUGAGACUUGAGUGCAGGAGAGGAAAGCGGAAUUCCUAGUGUAGCGGUGAAAUGCGUAGAUAUUAGGAGGAACACCAGUGGCGAAGGCGGCUUUCUGGACUGUAACUGACACUGAGGCACGAAAGCGUGGGGAGCAAACAGGAUUAGAUACCCUGGUAGUCCACGCCGUAAACGAUGAGCACUAGGUGUCGGGGUCGCAAGACUUCGGUGCCGCAGUUAACGCAUUAAGUGCUCCGCCUGGGGAGUACGGUCGCAAGAUUAAA
rnacentral:rRNA from 1 species